GCAAGGGCAGGACUGAACCUGACUAACUCCCAAACACCACUCAACCAAAACGGCUUGGAGAAAAUAAGCACAAAGCGACUAAUGAAAGGGCACGGAUCCAACAAAACAAUGGCAUAAUUCUCAGAGCAGCACCGUAGAUCCUACAGAUCCGGAACCAAUUCGCUAAAACCAAAAAAUCCACAAACAAAGUCGCUACAACCGUAUCCGCAAAACCCAAGAACAAACUCGCAAUAAACUAGAAGAGACACCAAACGCAGGC